GGUUAAGUGACUAAGCGUACACGGUGGAUGCCUAGGCAGUCAGAGGCGAUGAAGGGCGUGCUAAUCUGCGAAAAGCGUCGGUAAGGUGAUAUGAACCGUUAUAACCGACGAUACCCGAAUGGGGAAACCCAGUGUGUUUCGACACACUAUCAUGUCAUGAAUACAUAGUGGCAUGAGGCGAACCGGGGGAACUGAAACAUCUAAGUACCCCGAGGAAAAGAAAU
rnacentral:rRNA from 1 species